rnacentral:misc_RNA from 1 species
AGAGUAAAAUAGUACGUGAAAUUGUUGAAAGGGAAACGAUUGAAGUCAGUCGUACUAACGGGAAAUCAACCUUUUGGAGUCGUGAAUUUUGGAUUCUUCUGAGAGGAUCGGAUUCAAAUAUUUGCACUUUUUAGGCGUAAUUUCUCGUUCAGUAGGUUAACAUCGAUUUUGAACAUUAUAAAAUGAUCGGAGGAAUGUAGCUUCGGUCUCGUAUUGAAGUGUUAUAGCCUUUGGUAGAUGUAAUGAUCGAGAUCGAGGAUUGCAACGAAUACCCUUUUGGGCUAUCCGUCUGAUCUCUGAUACGUUGCCUCGGUAUCGAAAGCGUGCUUACGGUAUUGAGGUAUUACGGUCAAAAGGUUAGAACGUGAUUACAUUCGUUAAGGAUGUUGACGUAAUGGCUUCAAACGACC